CCUACGGGUGGCAGCAGUGGGGAAUAUUGGACAAUGGGCGAAAGCCUGAUCCAGCCAUGCCGCGUGUGUGAAGAAGGCCUUCGGGUUGUAAAGCACUUUCAGUGGGGAAGAAAGCCUUGGGGCUAAUACCCUCGAGGAAGGACAUCACCCACAGAAGAAGCACCGGCUAACUCCGUGCCAGCAGCCGCGGUAAUACGGAGGGUGCGAGCGUUAAUCGGAAUUACUGGGCGUAAAGCGCGCGUAGGCGGUCUGAUAAGCCGGUUGUGAAAGCCCCGGGCUCAACCUGGGAACGGCAUCCGGAACGGUAAGGCUAGAGUGCAGGAGAGGAAGGUAGAAUUCCCGGUGUAGCGGUGAAAUGCGUAGAGAUCGGGAGGAAUACCAGUGGCGAAGGCGGCCUUCUGGACUGACACUGACGCUGAGGUGCGAAAGCGUGGGUAGCAAACAGGAUUAGAUACCCUUGUAGUC
rnacentral:rRNA from 1 species